GCUCAUGGGAAACAGGAUUGUUAGCAAUAUGAACAGCAGCCUGACUUUCACAAAACACAGAAAAUGGAAGAGAAACAGAGACACCAAGAUCAACUAAUAAACGAGACAACCAAGAUAAUUCGGCAACAACUUUGCUAAGGGCUCGAUAUUCUGCCUCAGUAGAAGAUAAGGAAACCACAGGUUGCUUCUUUGAUUUACAACUAAUCAGGCAACCACCCAAUAACACACAAAACCCAGUAAUAGAUCUCCUUGUAUCAGGGCAGGCAACCCGGUCACUAUCAGAAUAACCAACAAUAGAGAAAUCAUCACUGGCAGAAUAAAAGAGACCCAUAGAAGGAGUGCCUUUAAGGUAUCUCAAAACAUGUAGGGCAGCAGUCAUAUGGGGANNNNNNNCGGUCACUAUCAGAAUAACCAACAAUAGAGAAAUCAUCACUGGCAGAAUAAAAGAGACCCAUAGAAGAAGUGCCUUUGAGGUAUCGCAAAACAUGUAGUAGAGCAGGAGUCAUAUGGGGAAGUCUGGGGCAUGUUAGAAAUUGACUCAGAUGUUGAACAGCAAAACAUAUGUCAGGCCUGGUACGUGUCAGAAAUAACAGCUUACCAACAAGACUCCUAUACUGAUCAGGAGAGGUUAAAAGGUCACUAGAAUCAACAUGAAGUUUGACAUUAAUAUCCAAAGGACAAACAACAGAGGAUACAUUGGUACAGUCAAACUGAUGCAGCAAGUCAGAGACAUAUUUAUGCUGAUUAAGGAUCAUUCCACCAAGAACAACUAACAUUUCUAUGCCCAAAAAUAAUGCAAAGACCCUAGGUCUUUGAUUUUAAACUGAUUAUCCAGAAACAUUUUCAGGGCAGUAAUUUCAUCACUGUCAUCCCCAGUAAGAAUAAUAUCAUCCACAUAGACUGCCACAAUCACAAGGGACCCAAGUUUACCUUUGAUGAACAAAGAAUAGUCAUUCAAAGAAUGUGUGUACCCUCUGGAAUAAAGAGCAGAAGACAAUUUGGCAUACCAUUGUNNNN
rnacentral:lncRNA from 1 species